rnacentral:rRNA from 1 species
GACGAACGCUGGCGGCGUGCUUAACACAUGCAAGUCGAAUGGAAAGGCCCUGCUUGCAGGGUGCUCGAGUGGCGAACGGGUGAGUAACACGUGGGUGAUCUGCCCCUUACUUUGGGAUAAGCCUGGGAAACUGGGUCUAAUACUGGAUAGGACCAUGCUGUAGGUGGUGUGGUGGAAAGAUUAGUUUCGGUAAGGGAUGAGCUCGCGGCCUAUCAGCUUGUUGGUGGGGUAAUGGCCUACCAAGGCGUCGACGGGUAGCCGGCCUGAGAGGGUGGACGGCCACAUUGGGACUGAGAUACGGCCCAGACUCCUACGGGAGGCAGCAGUGGGGAAUAUUGCACAAUGGGCGCAAGCCUGAUGCAGCGACGCCGCGUGGGGGAUGACGGCCUUCGGGUUGUAAACUCCUUUCAGCCAUGACGAAGCCCUUGUGGUGACGGUAGUGGUAGAAGAAGCACCGGCUAACUACGUG